GGGGAUGUGAGGUAAUGGUAACCUACCUCUUUUGCAUAGAGGUUCUCUGAGUUCGAUUCUCAGCCUCUCCACCA
rnacentral:tRNA from 1 species